GAAAAACGUCCUUCAGUUGAGAUUUUGAAAAGAAUGCCUGGAAGAUGGACGCCAUUGAAGUUCAGCAUGGAAUAGUAAAAGGGUUGGCAAAAUGCUCAUCAAGGUCCAGUACCGUGGACUAAAAAAGUACCUCAAACUGCAGCCUGGUUUUUCUUAUGAAAGUUUCAUUGAAGAAGAAUUUGUGCCAGCAGGUUCUUCUCCUCUAAAUUCUUCACUUUUCUGAAGUGAUAUGGAGAGGUCCUCUUCAAACAAGGG